AUACACAGAAGAGUGGAGACAGAGAAGAUGGAGAGGUCCACAGUAAAAACAAUGAAUAAAAGCUUGCCACCCUACGCGUUUGUCAAAGUCAUUUUGACAAACGCGUAGGGUGGCAAGCUUUUAUUCAUUGUUUUUACUGUGGACCUCUCCAUCUUCUCUGUCUCCACUCUUCUGUGUAUCC
rnacentral:miRNA from 1 species